GUCGAACGAAGAUACUAGCUUGCUAGUAUACUUAGUGGCAUACGGGUGAGUAACGCGUGGGAAUCUGCCUGGAAGUACGGAAUAACAGUUAGAAAUGACUGCUAAUACCGUAUAGACUCUACGGAGUAAAGAUUUAUCGCUUCCAGAUGAGCCCGCGUUAGAUUAGGUUGUUGGUGGGGUAAUGGCCUACCAAGCCUACGAUCUAUAGCUGGUCUGAGAGGAUGAUCAGCCACACUGGGACUGAGACACGGCCCAGACUCCUACGGGAGGCAGCAGUGGGGAAUAUUGGACAAUGGGCGCAAGCCUGAUCCAGCAAUGCCGCGUGAAUGAAGAAGGCCUUAGGGUUGUAAAGUUCUUUUAGUUGGGAAGAUAAUGACGGUACCAACAGAAAAAGCUCCGGCUAACUUCGUGCCAGCAGCCGCGGUAAUACGAAGGGAGCUAGCGUUAUUCGGAAUUACUGGGCGUAAAGAGCAUGUAGGCGGUCUAACAAGUUGGAAGUGAAAGCCCAGGGCUUAACCCUGGAACUGCUUUCAAAACUGUUAAACUAGAGAUCAAUAGGGGAUAGCGGAAUUCCUAGUGUAGAGGUGAAAUUCUUAGAUAUUAGGAGGAACACCGGAGGCGAAGGCGGCUAUCUGGGUUGAAUCUGACGCUGAGAUGCGAAAGUGUGGGUAGCAAACAGGAUUAGAUACCCUGGUAGUCCACACUGUAAACGAUGAGUGCUAGAUAUUAGAGAUUAAGUCUUUAGUGUCGUAGCU
rnacentral:rRNA from 1 species